rnacentral:tRNA from 1 species
GUGGGUAUAGCUCGAUGGUAGAGCACAUACUUAGCAUGCACGAAGUCCUGGGUUCAAUCCUUGGUACCUCCA